rnacentral:rRNA from 1 species
UCGGGAAUUUUGUGCAAUGGGCGAAAGCCUGACACAGCAACGCCGCGUGAAGGAUGAAGUCCCUCGGGAUGUAAACUUCGUAAGAAUAGGAAGAAUAAAUGACGGUACUAUUUAUAAGGUCCGGCUAACUACGUGCCAGCAGCCGCGGUAAUACGUAGGGACCAAGCGUUGUUCGGAUUUACUGGGCGUAAAGGGCGCAUAGGCGGUGUGUCAAGUCAGUUGUGAAAUCUCCGAGCUUAACUCGGAACGGUCAACUGAUACUGUCACACUAGAGUACAGAAGGGGCAAUCGGAAUUCUUGGUGUAGCGGUGAAAUGCGUAGAUAUCAAGAGGAACACCUGAGGCGAAGGCGGGUUGCUGGGCUGAUACUGACGCUGAGGCGCGAAAGCUAGGGUAGCAAACGGGAUUAGAUACCCAAGUAGUCCCUGAGCGGGCUGGCAAGGCGCAU